AUUGAACGCUGGCGGCAGGCCUAACACAUGCAAGUCGAGCGGAUGAAGAGAGCUUGCUCUCUGAUUUAGCGGCGGACGGGUGAGUAAUGCCUAGGAAUCUGCCUGGUAGUGGGGGAUAAAGCUCCGAAAGGAACGCUAAUACCGCAUACGUCCUACGGGCGAAAGCAGGGGACCUUCGGGCAUUGCGCUAUCAGGUGAGCCUAGGUCGGAUUAGCUAGUUGGUGAGGUAAUGGCGCACCAAGGAGACGAUCCGUAACUGGUCUGAGAGGAUGAUCAGUCACACUGGAACUGAGACACGGUCCAGACUCCUACGGGAGGCAGCAGUGGGGAAUAUUGGACAAUGGGCGAAAGCCUGAUCCAGCCAUGCCGCGUGUGUGAAGAAGGUCUUCGGAUUGUAAAGCACUUUAAGUUGGGAGGAAGGGCAGUAAGUUAAUACCUUGCUGUUUUGACGUUACCGACAGAAUAAGCACCGGCUAACUUCGUGCCAGCAGCCGCCGUAACAC
rnacentral:rRNA from 1 species